CCUACGGGCGGCAGCAGUCGGGAAUAUUGCGCAAUGGAGGAAACUCUGACGCAGUGACGCCGCGUGCAGGAAGAAGGCUUUCGGAUUGUAAACUGCUUUAGACAGGGAAGAAAAAAGACAGUACCUGUAGAAUAAGCUCCGGUUAACUACGUGCCAGCAGCCGCGGUAAUACGUAGGGAGCAAGCGUUUUCCGGAUUUAUUGGGUGUAAAGGGUGCGUAGACGGAGAAGCAAGUUAGUUGUGAAAUCCCUGGGCUUAACUGAGGAACUGCAACUAAAACUACUUCGCUUGAGAACUGGAGAGGAAAGUGGAAUUCCUAGUGUAGCGGUGAAAUGCGUAGAUAUUAGAAGGAACACCAGUGGCGAAGGCAGCUUUCUGGGCCGUUUCUGACGUUGAGGCACGAAAGUGUGGGGAGCAAACAGGAUUAGAUACCCUGGUAGUC
rnacentral:rRNA from 1 species